GAUGAACGCUGGCGGCGUGCUUAACACAUGCAAGUCGCGGGGCAGCAUGGAUGUCCUUUCGGGGACAUCUGAUGGCGACCGGCGUACGGGUGAGUAACGCGUAUCCAACCUGCCCUUUACAACGGGACAGCCCGUCGAAAGGCGGAUUAAUACCGUAUGUUGUCAUGUUGAUGCAUAUUUUCAUGACCAAAGGCUUCGGCCGGUAAAGGAUGGGGAUGCGUCUGAUUAGCUUGCCGGCGGGGUAACGGCCCACCGGGGCGACGAUCAGUAGGGGUUCUGAGAGGAAGGUCCCCCACAUUGGAACUGAGACACGGUCCAA
rnacentral:rRNA from 1 species